UACGUAGGGGGCAAGCGUUGUCCGGAAUUAUUGGGCGUAAAGAGCGCGUAGGCGGUCCGAUAAGUCGGCUGUGAAAGUCAGGGGCUCAACCCUUGGAAGACGGCCGAUACUGUCGGACUAGAGUCCGGAAGAGGCGAGUGGAAUUCCCGGUGUAGCGGUGAAAUGCGCAGAUAUCGGGAGGAACACCAAUGGCGAAGGCAGCUCGCUGGGACGGUACUGACGCUGAGGCGCGAAAGCGUGGGGAGCAAACAGG
rnacentral:rRNA from 1 species